rnacentral:rRNA from 1 species
UACGAAGGGGGCUAGCGUUGUUCGGAAUUACUGGGCGUAAAGCGCACGCAGGCGGCUCGUUAAAUUAGAAGUGAAAGCCUUGGGCUUAACCUGAGAAUUGCUUUUAAGACUGGCGAGCUAGAAUCCAGAAGAGGGUAGUGGAAUUCCGAGUGUAGAGGUGAAAUUCGUAGAUAUUCGGAAGAACACCAGUGGCGAAGGCGACUACCUGGUCUGGCAUUGACGCUCAUGUGCGAAAGCGUGGGGAGCAAACAGG